rnacentral:rRNA from 1 species
UACGUAGGGUGCAAGCGUUAAUCGGAAUUACUGGGCGUAAAGCGUGCGCAGGCGGUUUUGUAAGUCUGUCGUGAAAUCCCCGGGCUUAACCUGGGAAUUGCGAUGGAGACUGCAAGGCUAGAAUCUGGCAGAGGGGGGUAGAAUUCCACGUGUAGCAGUGAAAUGCGUAGAGAUGUGGAGGAACACCGAUGGCGAAGGCAGCCCCCUGGGUCAAGAUUGACGCUCAUGCACGAAGGCUAGGGGAGCAA